GGCCCUUAUGUCCAGGGCUACACACGUGUUACAAUGGCCGGUACAAAGGGCAAGCUACACCGCGAGGUGAUGCUAAUCUCGAAAGCCGGUCUCAGUUCGGAUCGAAGUCUGCAACCCGACUUCGUGAAGUUGGAUUCGCUAGUAAUCGCGCAUCAGCCAUGGCGCGGUGAAUACGUUCCCGGGCCUU
rnacentral:rRNA from 1 species